GCCCGGAUGGUGGAAUGGUAGACACGUUGGACUUAAAAUCCAAUGGCCAUAACGGCUGUGGGGGUUCAAGUCCCCCUCCGGGUACCU
rnacentral:tRNA from 1 species